GAUGAACGCUGGCGGCGUGCCUAAUACAUGCAAGUCGAGCGAACAGAUGAGGAGCUUGCUCCUCUGACGUUAGCGGCGGACGGGUGAGUAACACGUGGAUAACCUACCUAUAAGACUGGGAUAACUUCGGGAAACCGGAGCUAAUACCGGAUAAUAUAUUGAACCGCAGGGUUCAAUAGUGAAAGACGGUUUUGCUGUCACUUAUAGAUGGAUCCGCGCCGCAUUAGCUAGUUGGUAAGGUAACGGCUUACCAAGGCAACGAUGCGUAGCCGACCUGAGAGGGUGAUCAGCCACACUGGAACUGAGACACGGUCCAGACUCCUACGGGAGGCAGCAGUAGGGAAUCUUCCGCAAUGGGCGAAAGCCUGACGGAGCAACGCCGCGUGAGUGAUGAAGGUCUUCGGAUCGUAAAACUCUGUUAUUAGGGAAGAACAAAUGUGUAAGUAACUAUGCACGUCUUGACGGUACCUAAUCAGAAAGCCACGGCUAACUACGUG
rnacentral:rRNA from 1 species